rnacentral:rRNA from 1 species
UACAGAGGGUGCAAGCGUUAAUCGGAAUUACUGGGCGUAAAGCGUGCGUAGACGGUUACAUAAGUCGGGUGUGAAAGCCCCGGGCUCAACCUGGGAAGUGCAUUCGAGACUGCGUAGCUAGGGUGCGGAAGAGGGAAGCGGAAUUUCCGGUGUAGCGGUGAAAUGCGUAGAUAUCGGAAGGAACACCAGUGGCGAAAGCGGCUUCCUGGUCCAGCACCGACGUUCAGGCACGAAAGCGUGGGGAGCAAACAGG